GACGUAGGUGGCGAACGUUAUCCGGAAUUAUUGGGCGUAAAGGGUGCGUAGAUGGCCUGAUAAGUUAGCAGUGGGAAAUCGAGGCUCAACCUCGUGGAAGCUGGUAAUACUGUCAGGCUCGAGUGCAGGAGAGGUUAACGGAACUCCAUGUGGAGCGGUAAAAUGUGUAGAUAUUGGGAGGAACACCAGUGGCGAAGGCGGUCCCCUGGGCCGGAACUGACGCUGAGGCGCGAAAGCGUGGGGAGCAAACAGG
rnacentral:rRNA from 1 species